rnacentral:lncRNA from 1 species
GGCAGCUAGGGCUCAGAGGCUGGGCCACGUGGCUGCCGCCGGCGCUGGUUCUGUUCCUUCGGCUUUGGGCUCUGACCCGGGAGGGCAAAUGCGCAGGCUCUAAGCUUGGACUAGCUAGGAGUUGACCGCCGACCACGCACACAGGGAACUCACCUUUGAUUCUCACACACUCCUCCCCGCAGUCCUAUUCCUUAUCUCAAAAGGCGUUGAUAAGUCACCUGCUUCCCCAGACAGGCUCUGCUUGCGGUCUUAAAGUACUCUGCUCAGAGACAUGCCUCCACCUACCACCCCUAACUCAGUGCCAUCCCCAGCCCUGGACACGGAUCCUGAUCAGUCUAAGUUCAUCACAGUUGUUUCAUUCCUCAUGCCCGUGACUGGUUUGGUCACGGGUAUGUGACACAGUUCUGGCCGUAGCAAUGUAAGGGGAGCUGUGAAAGAGGCUUCUGGGAAAGGAUCUCUUGCAUCUAUGAGAGAUACAUAGGAGGAGGCCCACUCUUCUUCUGUUGGACAUUGUCAUAGAAAUUUGCCAACCACUGCCUUACAAGCUGGAAGAGAGGUAGACUUAGGUAAUAUUGAUAAAUCUACAAUGAAGAUGCAUAGUGGGAAAACUUUAACUCUUGAUGGUGUCAUUAAACUGCUGAAUUAACAACCCUG